AGCUUUGCGCAGUAUCACAGCCAAUGAGGCUUAUCCGAGGCGCAACUAUUGCUAAUUGAAAACUCGUGUCACAC
rnacentral:snRNA from 1 species